GACGAACGCUGGCGGCGUGCUUAACACAUGCAAGUCGAACGGAAAGGCCCUGCUUUUGUGGGGUGCUCGAGUGGCGAACGGGUGAGUAACACGUGAGUAACCUGCCCUUGACUUUGGGAUAACUUCAGGAAACUGGGGCUAAUACCGGAUAGGAGCUCCUGCUGCAUGGUGGGGGUUGGAAAGUUUCGGCGGUUGGGGAUGGACUCGCGGCUUAUCAGCUUGUUGGUGGGGUAGUGGCUUACCAAGGCUUUGACGGGUAGCCGGCCUGAGAGGGUGACCGGCCACAUUGGGACUGCGAUACGGCCCAGACUCCUACGGGAGGCAGCAGUGGGGAAUAUUGCACAAUGGGCGGAAGCCUGAUGCAGCAACGCCGCGUGCGGGAUGACGGCCCUCGGGUUGUAAACCGCUUUCGCCUGUGACGAAGCGUGAGUGACGGUAAUGGGUAAAGAAGCACCGGCUAACUACGUG
rnacentral:rRNA from 1 species